AGCUCCACGGCACAAGACCAGGGCCGGCCCGCCCUUAUAGGCAAACUAGGCAACUGCCUAGGGCGCUCGUAUUUGGGGGGCGGCAUAGCAAUGCGAGCGGCAUCACCACUGAGCACGCGGAUCGAUCAAAAAUGGUUCAAUCAAUCGUACGUACGCGCGACAGACGUGCGGCGCGACGCGCAUCGCAACUCGCGGAGCGCGCCGCCGCCGUCCCGUUCCCCGCCGCACCCCACGCAUGCCAUCGCCGCCAGGCGCCAGUCGCCGCCGCGCCGCCCGCGCACUCUUAACUAUCUCAUGUGUUCUCCGUCAACUCUAUGCGCUAAGUGAAUUCCUCGGACUCUCAUUGUGAAUAAUAAUAAUUGCAAUCACCUACAGGCUACAAUCAUUUCUUGAGACAUGGCAGAUGACAAAAAAAAAAUGUCUGGAGCACAAUUUCGUAAGAGAAAAUUAGAGAAACAAUUAUCGUUAGCAAAGCAAGCAGACUCGUUCAAGAAGUAUCUUCGUCCAAAUCUUCAAGAACCGCAACCAUCAGGCAGCAAUACAAAUGAUGAUAUGAAAGAAGACAUAACCAAUCCCACCACAGGAAGCUGUACUACAGAAGGUCCCGCUUUAUUUUCAGCAAAAGAAAAUAC